GUAGGUGGCAAGCGUUGUCCGGGAAUUAUUGGGGCGUAAAGCGCGCGCAGGCGGUUCUUUAAGUCUGAUGUGAAAGCCCACGGGCUCAACCGUGGAGGGUCAUUGGAAACUGGAGAACUUGAGUACAGAAGAGGAAAGCGGAAUUCCACGUGUAGCGGUGAAAUGCGAAGAGAUGUGGAGGAACACCAGUGGCGAAGGCGGCUUUCUGGUCUGUAACUGACGCUGAGGCGCGAAAGCGUGGGGAGCAAACAGGAUUAGAUACCCUGGUAGUCCACGCCGUAAACGAUGAGUGCUAAGUGUUAGGGGGUUUCCGCCCCUUAGUGCUGCAGCUAACGCAUUAAGCACUCCGCCUGGGGAGUACGGCCGCAAAGGCUG
rnacentral:rRNA from 1 species